rnacentral:ncRNA from 2 species
UUACAUAACAUGUCGUUUGGUGUAGUGAGAACUACUUAAAAGGGAAGUGUGAUGUAAGUUCACCACGGUACCCGCCACUGUGAAACGGAGCAGCAAAUCAGCACCACUGCAAUAUGCGGGAAGGGAUUUGCUUUGCGAUGAUGUGAAGUCAGGAGACCUGCCAGACGGUCACGAAGUGU